rnacentral:rRNA from 1 species
GUUAUCCGGAAUUAUUGGGCGUAAAGCGCGCGUAGCGGUUUUUAAGUCUGAUGUGAAAGCCCCACGCUCAACGUGGAGGGUCAUUGGAAAACUGGGAAAACUUGAGUGCGGAAGAGGAAAGUGGAAUUCCAUGUGUAGCGGUGAAAUGCGCAGAGAUAUGGAGGAACACCAGUGGCGAAGGCGACUUUCUGGUCUGUAACUGACGCUGAUGUGCGAAAGCGUGGGGAUCAAACAGGAUUAGAUACCCUGGUAGUCAAGGGCG